AGAGUUUGAUCCUGGCUCAGGAUGAACGCUGGCGGCGCGCCUAACACAUGCAAGUCGAACGGCACCCACCCUCGGGUGGAGGCGAGUGGCGAACGGCUGAGUAACACGUGACCAACCUGCCCCACGCACCGGGAUAGCCGGGGGAAACCCCGGGUAAUACCGGACGUCCCCGGGACGGCGCAUGCCGUCCCGGGGGAAGCCCAGGCGGCGUGGGAUGGGGUCGCGGCCCAUCAGGUAGACGGCGGGGUAACGGCCCACCGUGCCUACAACGGGUAGCCGGGUUGAGAGACCGACCGGCCAGAUUGGGACUGAGACACGGCCCAGACUCCUACGGGAGGCAGCAGUGGGGAAUCUUGCGCAAUGGGGGCAACCCUGACGCAGCGACGCCGCGUGCGGGACGAAGGCCUUCGGGUCGUAAACCGCUUUCAGCAGGGACGAGAAGAGACGGUACCUGCAGAAGAAGCCCCGGCUAACUACGUGCCAGCAGCCGCGGUAAUACGUAGGGGGCGAGCGUUAUCCGGAUUCAUUGGGCGUAAAGCGCGCGUAGGCGGCCGCGUAGGCGGGGGGUCAAAUCCCGGGGCUCAACCCCGGUCCGCCCCCCGAACCCCGCGGCUCGGGUCCGGUAGGGGAGGGUGGAACACCCGGUGUAGCGGUGGAAUGCGCAGAUAUCGGGUGGAACACCGGUGGCGAAGGCGGCCCUCUGGGCCGAGACCGACGCUGAGGCGCGAAAGCUGGGGGAGCGAACAGGAUUAGAUACCCUGGUAGUCCCAGCCGUAAACGAUGGACGCUAGGGGGGGGGGGGACGAUCCCUCCGUGCCGCAGCACAACGCAAUAAAGCGUCCCACCUGGGGAGAACGGGGCGCAAGGCUAAAACUCCAAAGGAAAUGACGGGGGCCCCGCACAAGCAGCGGAGCAUGUGGCUUAAUUCGAAGCAACGCGAAGAACCUUACCAAGUCUUGACAUCUGCCUGACCGUUCCUUAACCGGAGCUUUCCUUCGGGACAGGCAAGACAGGUGGUGCAUGGUUGUCGUCAGCUCGUGUCGUGAGAUGUUGGGUUAAGUCCCGCAACGAGCGCAACCCCUAUCCUUAGUAGCCAGCAGUCCGGCUGGGCACUCUAGGGAGACUGCCGGGGAUAACCCGGAGGAAGGCGGGGACGACGUCAAAUCAUCAUGCCCCUUAUGCCCUGGGCUACACACGUGCUACAAUGGCGUAAACAAAGGGAAGCGAAGCGGUGACGCUUAGCAAAUCUCAAAAAUAACGUCCCAGUUCGGACUGCAGUCUGCAACUCGACUGCACGAAGCUGGAAUCGCUAGUAAUCGCGGAUCAGCAUGCCGCGGUGAAUACGAAAGCCGGGUCUUGCACACACCGCCCGUCA
rnacentral:rRNA from 1 species